rnacentral:rRNA from 1 species
UACGGAGGGUGCAAGCGUUAUCCGGAUUCACUGGGUUUAAAAGGGUGCGUAGGUGGGUAAGUAAGUCAGUGGUGAAAUCUCCGGGCUUAACCCGGAAACUGCCAUGGAUACUAUUUGUCUUGAAUAUUGUGGAGGUAAGCGGAAUAUGUCAUGUAGCGGUGAAAUGCUUAGAUAUGACAUAGAACACCAAUUGCGAAGGCAGCUUACUACACAGUUAUUGACGCUGAGGCACGAAAGCGUGGGGAUCAAACAGG